AACUCUCGCUCCCAUUUCUAGUUAGCAAAAGAAAAAAUCUCUCUACACAUUAAAGCAUUUUGCCCCAAACAAAAAAAUACAGAAACCCUAAACCCUAACUUUCUCUCCUUCUCAGUUUUCUCCCAAAAAUUCUCCAUUGUAAGCUUAUCGAUGACAGGUGGACAUUUUCAUAAUCCUUCUUCACCAUUAUCUUUCAGACGAGAGAAACAAUCAGAAGAAUCUUGAAUUUAGAGGAAUCGAAGGAUCUAUGAGUAGUGGCGAUGAAGACAGAUUUGGUCUCUCGGUGAAUAUGUCAGCUUCUUCUCAUUCAUCAUUCUCACCAUUUUGGAUAUCGGUUUUAUCUAGAAUUUUGCAUGAAUAUCAGUUCUUGUAAACUUUGUUCUUUGUGCUUUCUGUUUGUUGGUGCUGGUAUUUCAAUAUAAAUCGGCGAGUAUGUAAGUGUUGGAUUCUAUCUUUCUUAGAGAUUAUUGGUUUUGACAUCUUCAUUCUGCUUCUAAGGUUUUUGAAUUUGUACUUCGUUUUCAUUCUACUCAUGAAGUUUUUGAAUUUGUACUUCGUUUUCCUUUUUGUAUUAUACUUAUCACAACUUUCUUCUCUCUAAUUGGUGUUUUUGUGUUCUGGCAUAUAUAACAUUGCUAUUGGAUUGUUCUUAAAAUGAAGCGACAAAUUAUGCACAUGACCAAAUACAUUCAUCCCAUUCAACCUGGCAAAUUAGGCUGGGGUGUACAGAUGACAAAUGUACGGGGAAUAUAGAGUUUAGUCAAUCGCAGUCUGGAGUUCGCGAAUUAAUCUCAUGUGACAUGCACUAGUUUUGAGGGAUAUGCAUAUCUAGUGUUAAUAUUGAAAGAGAGAAAUUUGAAGUGCUCGUGGAGAUACAAGGAGAGGGCAUGAUUUUGGAUCAAGAGUUUCUUCUUUAGAGCCAUUCCGACAAACAUGAAUUUAUCUAACCCCUUAAUGGUCACGUAUGGAAAAUAGUUAUUACUGAAAGUGAAAACUGAAAGCUGUAAAGCAUAGGAUGCAGCUAAACACUGUAAAUAGACUUGCUCUGACUGGGACUCCGGAAUACAGAGCAAGUGGUGGGCUACUGAAAGAAUACUUAUUCUGCUUGAGAGACGGUGUUUCCCUCAUCUGGAGAGAGUUAAUAUAAGUUGUGGGCUAUCCUGAGCAGACUUUGAAUCCAUCUCUGUGAUUAUAGUUGUGUUACUAUCGAUAUGUGAGAUUUUAUCCUUCAGGCAGAUUCCUUUGCAAGAAUUCAUCACAAAAAGCAAAGAUGUCGCGAUGUACCUGAACUUUUGUUCCUCAAAUGCUGAUUGUGUUUUUAAGGGGAGUUACACACUAUCAGAGGAUAAAGUUGGUAUGGAUCUGUAUAACCUUGGUCAGGACUUUGGGUUAUGACUUCACCAAUAUUACUACCUACGAGAGACCAAAUCAGUUUUUCUCUUGCAAAAGCAUAAAGUUUUGGCACUGCGAUGGGUGGUCUUCCUGAAAAGGUCAAUGGAAAAAGUGCUCCCUUUUGCGAACAACUUCACAUUGAUAACUUCAUACAAAUGUGGUUGAUUCUCAUUACCUGAUGGAAGUUUGGUACAUUACUGCCGCAAGUAGACAUUAAAUACAUAUUUAUCAAAUUUUCAUUCUAGGAAGGGCCUGGAAGAAACAAAGGAUUAUGGGAAGGAUUCUCCUCCAAUCUUGGACCUGAGGUGACCUCUGCUUUGCAGAAUCUAGCGGCUGAAAGUGGUAAGACUGAUUGGGAGUUGGCUUUUGUUGAGACAACUAGUCAUCUAUCUCAUCAGAAGGCAGCAAUAGGCGGUAGACUUGAUCUGCUGUUGUUGAAUGGAUGUAUGAUCGAGGGAUGGUUAGGCAACAUGUUGUCACUGCCCAUUGGAGUUGUGGUAGUGCGAGCAGUGUAGCAUUUACCUGGGCAAGGGAAGAGUUCAACACGUUUUAGCACUCCCUGCACACCAAAAACAGCCCAGACAGUUGGACAGGACUGCAUCUUUGAUUUUCCCACCUCCUUCAUAUAUACAAAUGGCGGAUUUGGAGAAGAAACAGUAAUUACUAUAGGACCAAAUCGUAUGGCAGCAAUACGCUAGAAAUGGGAUGCAAGAACCGACGAUUUUGUCCAAGAUCAGCAGUGGCGGAUACUAUGGUACACAACCAGCCGGGAUGCCUUAUUGCAUGCCAUCAAUAAGUGGCGUUGCAGUGCCACCUGCUGGAGGUGAGGGUAAUUAGUCGAUGAGAAAUUGGCUGAUGAGAAUAGAUACUAUGGAGUUGAUGGUAGAGAAAUUGAUAUAGGCUGACAUUUCAAAAUUUCUCCAAUAGAAGGAAAAUUCAGCUAUCCAACAGAUGUGAUAUGUGUAAAAUGAAGUGGAAACAACAAAAUAAUAGGUUGUCAUUUGUCUUAAUCUUGAAGCCUAGUUCUUGUUUACCUGUUCUCUUUUGCAAUGGAGGUGUAUUUAUUUCAAAGGGUGUUAGCAUUGUUCUGGUUGAGCCUCAUAGACAUGGAUGCGUGUUCAUUGCCAAGGGCAAGGAAGAUGAUCUUUUUACUAAUAAUGGGUACCCGGUGAAGCUGUCUACAAUAAAAAGAGAAUCCUUGUUCAGGAAAAUGCCGCUGAUUGAAUUUGAUGAAUAGAGUACAAAAGUAAACUCAAUCUAUUGUGUGUAUAUAUAUAUAUAUAUAUAUAUAUAUAUAUAUAACUAGUGAAACUAUUUGCGCUUUGCGCGAUUAUAUGAAAUAUUUAUAAGAUAAUAAUAUGAAAUAUAUAAUAUUUAGGUUAGUAUCGAA